rnacentral:rRNA from 1 species
GAUAAUAGUUUGCGACCUCGAUGUUGGAUUAGGAUACUUUUUUGGUGAAGAAGUUUUAUAAAAGAAGUUUGUUCAACUUUUAAAUUCCUACAUGAUCUGAGUUCAGACCGGCGUGAGCCAGGUUGGUUUCUAUCUUAAUAAUAAUAGUUAUUUUUUUAGUACGAAAGGAAUUAAAAAUUUUAAUUUAGUUAAUUAAAUUUUAAUUAAUUUAUGUUUU